rnacentral:rRNA from 1 species
UGCGCAGGCGGUUUUGUAAGUCUGACGUGAAAUCCCCGGGCUCAACCUGGGAAUUGCGUUGGAGACUGCAAGGCUGGAGUCUGGCAGAGGGGGGUAGAAUUCCACGUGUAGCAGUGAAAUGCGUAGAGAUGUGGAGGAACACCGAUGGCGAAGGCAGCUACCUGGACCAACACUGACACUGAGGCACGAAAGCGUGGGGAGCAAACA